rnacentral:rRNA from 1 species
UACGAAGGGUGCAAACGUUGCUCGGAAUCAUUGGGCGUAAAGCGCGCGUAGGCGGCCAAGUAGGUCCGUUGUGAAAACUGGAGGCUUAACCUCCAGCUGUCGAUGGAAACCAUUUGGCUAGAGUCCGGAAGAGGAGAGUGGAAUUCCUGGUGUAGCGGUGAAAUGCGCAGAUAUCAGGAAGAACACCCGUGGCGAAGGCGGCUCUCUGGGACGGUACUGACGCUGAGACGCGAAAGCGUGGGGAGCGAACAGG